rnacentral:pre_miRNA from 9 species
UCUCGAUAGCGUAAAAGUUAACUUGUAUGAAGUUGGAACGUUUGCCUACGUUUGCCGCUAGGGGCGCUGUUCCAACUGCAUACAUAUUUGAGUUAACUUUGACGCUAUCGU